UUGAAAAGUUAGCGGAUGACCUGUGGAUCGGAGUGAAAGGCUAAUCAAGCUCGGAGAUAGCUGGUUCUCCUCGAAAGCUAUUUAGGUAGCGCCUCGUGUAUCACUGCUGGGGGUAGAGCACUGUUUCGGCUAGGGGGUCAUCCCGACUUACCAAACCGAUGCAAACUCCGAAUACCAGCAAGUGUCAGCACGGGAGACACACGGCGGGUGCUAACGUCCGUCGUGAAAAGGGAAACAACCCAGACCGUCAGCUAAGGUCCCAAAAUCCUGGUUAAGUGGGAAACGAUGUGGGAAGGCUUAGACAGCUAGGAGGUUGGCUUAGAAGCAGCCACCCUUUAAAGAAAGCGUAAUAGCUCACUGGUCGAGUCGGCCUGCGCGGAAGAUGUAACGGGGCUCAAACCAG
rnacentral:rRNA from 1 species